GAUGAACGCUGGCGGCGUGCCUAAUACAUGCAAGUCGAGCGAACGGACGAGAAGCUUGCUUCUCUGAUGUUAGCGGCGGACGGGUGAGUAACACGUGGAUAACCUACCUAUAAGACUGGGAUAACUUCGGGAAACCGGAGCUAAUACCGGAUAAUAUUUUGAACCGCAUGGUUCAAAAGUGAAAGACGGUCUUGCUGUCACUUAUAGAUGGAUCCGCGCUGCAUUAGCUAGUUGGUAAGGUAACGGCUUACCAAGGCAACGAUGCAUAGCCGACCUGAGAGGGUGAUCGGCCACACUGGAACUGAGACACGGUCCAGACUCCUACGGGAGGCAGCAGUAGGGAAUCUUCCGCAAUGGGCGAAAGCCUGACGGAGCAACGCCGCGUGAGUGAUGAAGGUCUUCGGAUCGUAAAACUCUGUUAUUAGGGAAGAACAUAUGUGUAAGUAACUGUGCACAUCUUGACGGUACCUAAUCAGAAAGCCACGGCUAACUACGUGCCAGCAGCCGCGGUAAUACGUAGGUGGCAAGCGUUAUCCGGAAUUAUUGGGCGUAAAGCGCGCGUAGGCGGUUUUUUAGUCUGAUGUGAAAGCCCACGGCUCAUCCGUGGAGGGUCAUUGGAAACUGGAAAACUUGAGUGCAGAAGAGGAAAGUGGAAUUCCAUGUGUAGCGGUGAAAUGCGCAGAGAUAUGGAGGAACACCAGUGGCGAAGGCGACUUUCUGGUCUGUAACUGACGCUGAUGUGCGAAAGCGUGGGGAUCAAACAGGAUUAGAUACCCUGGUAGUCCACGCCGUAAACGAUGAGUGCUAAGUGUUAGGGGGUUUCCGCCCCUUAGUGCUGCAGCUAACGCAUUAAGCACUCCGCCUGGGGAGUACGACCGCAAGGUUGAAACUCAAAGGAAUUGACGGGGACCCGCACAAGCGGUGGAGCAUGUGGUUUAAUUCGAAGCAACGCGAAGAACCUUACCAAAUCUUGACAUCCUUUGACAACUCUAGAGAUAGAGCUUUCCCCUUCGGGGGACAAAGUGACUGGUGGUGCAUGGUUGUCGUCAGCUCGUGUCGUGAGAUGUUGGGUUAAGUCCCGCAACGAGCGCAACCCUUAAGCUUAGUUGCCAUCACUAAGUUGGGCACUCUAAGUUGACUGCCGGUGACAAACCGGAGGAAGGUGGGGAUGACGUCAAAUCAUCAUGCCCCUUAUGAUUUGGGCUACACACGUGCUACAAUGGACAAUACAAAGGGCAGCGAAACCGUGAGGUCAAGCAAAUCCCAUAAAGUUGUUCUCAGUUCGGAUUGUAGUCUGCAACUCGACUACAUGAAGCUGGAAUCGCUAGUAAUCGUAGAUCAGCAUGCUACGGUGAAUACGUUCCCGGGUCU
rnacentral:rRNA from 1 species